ACUCCUACGGGAGGCAGCAGUGCGGAAUAUUGGACAAUGGGGGAAAGCCUGAUCCAGCAAUGCCGCGUAAGCGAUGAAGGCCUGCGGGUUGUAAAGCUCUUUCAGUUGGGAAGAUAAUGACGUUACCAACAGAAGAAGCACCGGCUAACUCCGUGCCAGCAGCCGCGGUAAUACGGAGGGUGCAAGCGUUAAUCGGAAUUACUGGGCGUAAAGCGUGCGUAGGCGGUUUAUUAAGUCAGAUGUGAAAUCCCCGGGCUCAACCUGGGAACUGCAUCUGAUACUGGUAGACUAGAGUGUGGGAGAGGAGAGUGGAAUUUCCGGUGU
rnacentral:rRNA from 1 species